GCGGGCGUAGCUCAGCAGGUUAGAGCGUCAGGUUGUGGCCCUGAAGGCCGCGGGUUCGAGCCCCGUCGCUCGCCCCA
rnacentral:tRNA from 1 species